CAGAGAGAAGGUUUAUUUUCAAUGUGCA
rnacentral:piRNA from 1 species